rnacentral:rRNA from 1 species
CCUACGGGUGGCAGCAGUGGGGAAUAUUGCACAAUGGGGGAAACCCUGAUGCAGCGACGCCGCGUGAGUGAAGAAGUAUUUCGGUAUGUAAAGCUCUGUCAGCAGGGAAGAAAAUGACGGUACCUGACCAAGAAGCCCCGGCUAACUACGUGCCAGCAGCCGCGGUAAUACGUAGGGGGCAAGCGUGAUCCGGAUUUACUGGGUGUAAAGGGAGCGUAGACGGCAGGGCAAGUCUGGAGUGAAAGGCGGGGGCGCAACCCCCGGACUGCUCUGGAAACUGCCAGGCUGGAGUGCAGGAGAGGUAAGUGGAAUUCCUAGUGUAGCGGUGAAAGGCGUAGAUAUUAGGAGGAACACCAGUGGCGAAGGCGGCUUACUGGACUGUAACUGACGUUGAGGCUCGAAAGCGUGGGGAGCAAACAGGAUUAGAUACCCUGGUAGUC